CGCGCAGGCGGCCAGGUCAGUCGAAUGUGAAAGCCCCCGGCUCAACUGGGGAGGGUCAUUCGAUACUGCCUGGCCUGAAGAUAGGAGAGGGAAGUGGAAUUUCAGGUGUAGUGGUGAAAUGCGUAGAUAUCUGAAGGAACACCAGUGGCGAAGGCGACUUUCUGGCCUAUUCUUGACGCUGAGGCGCGAAAGCUAGGGGAGCGAACG
rnacentral:rRNA from 1 species